CCUGGGUAGAAGGUGUUUUGUAAGUGAACCAAGAGGAAACAACUGUUCACUUGCUAUUUUUGCUUCUGGCCUCACCAUCAAAGCAGCUCAGACAGGAAAGGACAGAUGGGGUGACAACAUGCUGCUGGGCAAAUCAGAGCCAGAGAUAGGCGUGGUUAAGGGGUCCACUGGGAGGAACUCUGGCUUCUGAGGCUAGAAGACUUGGCAGACUUGACUAUGGACCGGAGAAUCAACAGUGUGCAUCUCUUGAGUCCACUGGAUUCAGUUCCUGGGAGUUCCCUCCUCCCUUCCCCUGCUCCAUUCCCUAAACCAGUCUGGACAUGGAUUCUCUUGCUGACCCCCCCCAACCCAUCAUUUUUCCACUUGAAUAUGAAUGAGGCAGAUGAAGACAUGGAGCCCAUGAAAGGAAAUCCUGACAGCUCUGGACCCGCCAAAGGCUGGCAGCGGAAAUUAUAAAUGGGCAGAGACCACUGAAAGAAGAGCCUUCUAGAAAUACUAUGUAGAACUCCUGGCUAAGAAAUACGACCUUAAGGAACGACAACAGACUGCAUUUGCCAAACAAAACAAGUGGGCGACACACAGAUGGUUUCUAUUUUCUGUAACCAGUGGAAGCUUUUGUGGCUGAUCACAAUGCCAGGCGGCUCCAGGAAGCUGUACAAAGAAGUGAUGCUAGUGGUAUCGGUACAAAGAACACAGGAAACUCUCAGGCAACCUUUAAGUCAUGUAAGUGGCCCUCCUCGGCACUGCCCUGGCAUCCUGUGUGUACUACAAAUUCAGCACUUAACAACAAAUAAGUAACAGCUUUACCGAGAUAUAAUUCAGAUACCAUACAAUUCACCCAUCUAAAAUGUAGGAUUCAAAAGUUUUUGUAUAUUCACAAAUAUAUGAUGGCCAUCAUCACUAUCCUAUUGCAGGACAUUUUUAUCACCCCAAAAGAGGUCCCCUAUCCUUGAGUAGCCACUCCCCAUUCUUCUCCUCUUCCCCCCACCCCGCAACCCCAGCACUUUAGGUAACUUCCACUUUCUGUGUCAAUGGAUUUGCCUAUUCUGGACAAUUCAUGGAAGUGGAAAGAUAUAAAAUCUUUGUGACCCUUUAUGACUGGCUUCUUUCACUUAGCAUGUUUUCAAGGUUUAUGUGGCAUGUAGGUCAAGCGGCAUGUAGGGAUGCUUCAUUUCGUUGCUGCAUGCUGUUCCACCGUGUGGCUUUACCACACCGUGUGUCCAGUCAUCAUCUCAAGGACAAGUGGGCUGUUUCCACUUUUUGACUAGUAUGAAUAAUACUGCUAUGCAUAUUUGUGGAGAGCAGGUUUUUGUGUAGAUCUGUAGUUUCAGUUCCCUUGGUAGUAUAACCAGGACUGGAAUUGUUAGGUCAUAUGUGUAUUUGAUGAACUGCCUGACUUUUCACAGCAUUGGUUUUUCACAGUGUUCGUUAUCAGAGUGGUGGGACCAGAUCCUUGUCUUCCCUAGCACUUAGGAUGACAAAGGGGCUACUAGACACUUGCUGAGAUUUCUGCUGAUUUAAAGUCCUCUAAUCUUCAGGGCCCAUCAGUCCACUAAAGACCUUUACAGAGAAAUAUUUCUCUCUUUUUAAAGACUUUUAUUUUUUGAUGUGGACCAUUUGUAAAAUCUUUAUUGAAUUUGUUACAAUGUUGGGUUUGUUUUCUGAAUUUCUCUUUCUGAUAGUUUGUUGUUAGUGUAUAGAAAUACAAUAGAUUUCUGUGUAUUGAUUUUGCAUCAUUUUACUGAAUUCACUGAUGAAGUCUAAUAGUUUUUUUGGUGCCGGCCUGAGGAUUUUCUUUGUAUGAUAUCAUGUUGUCUGCAAACAGCCACAGUUUUACUCCUUCCUCUCCAACUGGAUUCCUUCUAUUUUUUUCCCUUAUCUGAUUGCUGAGGCUAGGAAUUUCAUGUUGAAUGAAAGUGGUGAGAGUCAGCAUACUUUUCUUGUUCCUGAUCAUAGAGGAAAUGAUUUUAGCUUUUCACCAUUAAAUAUGAAGUAGCUAUGGGUUUACCAUGUAUGACCUUUAUAACAUUGAAGCAUAUUCCCUCUAUAGCCACCCUGGUGGCU